UACGGGGGGGGCAAGCGUUGUUCGGAAUUACUGGGCGUAAAGGGCUCGUAGGUGGCCAACUAAGUCAGACGUGAAAUCCCUCGGCUUAACCGGGGAACUGCGUCUGAUACUGGAUGGCUUGAGUUCGGGAGAGGGAUGCGGAAUUCCAGGUGUAGCGGUGAAAUGCGUAGAUAUCCUAAGGAACACCGGUGGCGAAAGCGGCUCACUGGAUCUCUUCUGACGCUGAGGCACGAAAGCUAGGGUAGCGAACGGG
rnacentral:rRNA from 1 species